UUUUUGAUUUUUCAUUUCAGUUUUAUAAGCUAGAUAGCCAGAGAGAAGGCAUAGCACAACGACAUCACGACGGCAGCACAACGUUUUAUAAGCUAAGCUAGAGAGAAGAGACAGCACAAGGACAUCACGACGGCUGCACGGCGACAGCAACUAUUAAUAUUAUUAUUAUUAACUUGUUCUCGCAACUUUUUUUGCCUUAUUCAUAUUUUAUUUGAUGUUAUUCUUUUAAUUUUGAUUUUUCAUUUCAGUUUUAUAAGCUAGAUAAGGCAGAGAGAAGAGACGGCACAACGGCAGCACAACGUUUUAUAAGCUACAUAAGCCAGAGAGAAGAGACGGCACAACGACAUCACGACGGCAGCACAACGGUAUCACGACUGUGUUAUUCUAGCAAGUUUUUUUUGCCU
rnacentral:lncRNA from 1 species